CCUGCAACAAGGUGGGGAACGCCAAACCGCGCUGGUCUUAGAAUCGCAAGCUCAGGUUUAAGAUACAGCUGCGCCCUCAGCGGAUCCCCCAACUACAAAAUGAAACAUUGACCGAGUGUGGUGGCUCACGCCAGUAAUCCCAGGGCUCUGGGAGGAUCGCUUGACCCCAGGAGUUUAAGACUUGCCGGGGGAGGACUCAAGAUGGUGCUGUGAGAACAACCCAGGAUUGAAGCUCGCUGGACGCACGGAGAGGGACCAGGUGGAACAUGAGAACCUGAGCACCUGCAUCAGAUCCUAGAGGAGGAGAAGACUUUUCUGCUGUCACAGAUUUACUGGCUGGGUCAUUAGGAAGCUGAAGCAGGGAAACACUAUGUUCCCUCCACGGAGCCACAGUUGAACAAUCUCAGGGAGCUCAUUGGUUCCCUGAAGAUCAAGCAGAAAAUGCCACCCAGGCAGCUGCUGGAGACCACCUGCAGGCUGAUAGGGAAAGAGAUGAAAACAGAUUCUUCAAAAGCAUGAAUGAAAACGACAUGAAGAGCUGUAAGUGAGAAAUGAUGGUUGUUGCUCCUGCCAUUUGGGGAAAGUGAGAA
rnacentral:lncRNA from 13 species